UAAAACUGUCUGUACUUUAUCAUUAUUAUUUAAAAUGUUAAUCAUUUUAGUUUUUCUUGAUUUCACAAGUAGGUAACAUGUUUAGAUUUACAGCCAAUCUAUAGCGGACUGUGUGAAAAUGGAGUAAAAAUAGAAAAAUUUGCAAUUAAAAGAUUUUCUGUGAGAAGAAGUUUCAAGUCGACCAACAUUCAAAAACUGCUACUCAUAAGUUGAAGCUAAAAAAGAUUGCAUUAGGACCCGUUCAGCAGUCCAUUCAUACAUCUCUUCAAAAUGUUCAAGAUCAAGAUGAAUCAGAAAAAGAAAAACGUUUGUUUAAUCAAGACCUGUGUAAAGCUUUGUUGGAGCAAACAUUCCGUUAAAAAAAUUACAAAAUAUACAUUUUAGGCAAUUUUUGCAAAAAUACUGUAACUUCAAUAUUCCUAACGAGGCAACGCUAAGAAAGGGCAAUGUGAAUGCAUUGUAUGAUUUUGCCAACAGAAAUAAAAAGUGAACAUUUUUUAAUAUUUUUAUCAGAUGCCGCUCCGUAUAUGGUAAAAGUAGGACAAAAUUUGAAAAUAUUUUACUCAAAUAUUCACACGUCACUUGUCUUUUACAUGGCAUAAACAGAGUAGCAGAAGUUCUUAGAGGUGAAUUUGAUUUAGUCAAUAAAUUAAUUUCAAACGUUAAAAAAGUAUUUUUGAAAGCACCUUUACGUGUGCAAAUGUAUAAAGAAAAAUUAUCAGGUGUAAACUUGCCUCCAGAGCCCGUAAUUACAACAUGGGGAACAUGGAUCAAAGCAGCAAUUUUCUACGCAAAUCAUUUUGAUGCCAUAAAAGACGUUGUGUUAGAUAUUCAAAAUGACUUGCAGUGUGUAACUGAAAGUCAAGAGCUUUUAAGUAACGUACAAAUUGCUAAAGACCUUAUGUUCAUAAAAGUUAAUUUUAGUUUUUUACCAGAUCUAAUAAAGUCAUUGUCAUUAGAACAAAGGAAUUUACAAUUAAGUGAUUCGGUUAAUCUUGUUACACUUUUUCUGCUCAUUGUCAAAAAAUUCCCGGAAAUACAGGGAUUACAAUUAGAAAUAAAUUAAAAAAUGUUUUAGAAAAAAAUGAGGGCUUCGAUUGUUUGAGGAAAGAUGUACGUAUUUUUGAAGGCAACUUUUCUGAAGAUCUUACGACUUGGCAAAUUAGUUUACUGCUUAUAAUAUAACAUCAGUAGAUGUAGAACAAACUUUUUCUGUGUCCAAACACGUUUUUAGUGAUAGAAGGCAAAAGUUGCUAGUUGAAAAUUUUGAAAAAUAUUUGAUUAUAAAUUCAUACUAUAAUUUAGAUUCUUAAUUUAAUUAUAAUAUCAGUUUUUGUGUGUCAUUUCAUUUGUUUUUAUGUGAAAAAUAAAUAUGUAUUAAACAUAAAUGUAGGUUGAAUUUUUUAAACAUAAAUGUUUAUAUUUAAUAUAUUGUUUUAUUUUUGAGUAUUUUUAAUAUGCAUUUGCAUAUUUAGACAAAUUUAGAAAAAAUACCUGCAUAUUUGUAGUAAAAGUAAUGCAUAUAUAUGCGCAUAUUUUUUAAUGUUGUGUUGCAUAUAUUCCGCUCUCUAAUGAUAACCUACUUUAAAAAAUCUACCAAGUACACUUUUAUUACAAAAAGAUUCCAUAAUAUUAAUUUUAGGGCUCUUAUUGUACAUUAUAGUCCAGUUAUUAGAUCAGAUUUGUAUACCUAGUUCCUUCCAUUCACCAUUUCAGUAACUGUUUUGAAAAACAUGAAUUUAACUGUAUUUUAACAAAUAAAAUUAGGCUUAAUAUUACUGACCACAUUAUCAAAAUUGAGCAUAAUGGUGUUUUAAACAUUGUCAGUUAAUGAUAUUUUUUCAUUUGUAAAUUAGUCUUAUUUUGUGUUUACGACUGUAUUAAAUAAAUACCAAAUUUUCAUUUGUUUUUCAUUA
rnacentral:misc_RNA from 1 species